rnacentral:rRNA from 1 species
GUGGAUCCUGAGUACGACGGAGCACGUGAAAUUCCGUCGGAAUCUGGGAGGACCAUCUCCUAAGGCUAAAUACUCUCUAGUGACCGAUAGUGAACCAGUACCGUGAGGGAAAGGUGAAAAGCACCCCGGAAGGGGAGUGAAAUAGAACCUGAAACCGUGUGCUUACAAGUAGUCAGAGCCCGUUAAUGGGUGAUGGCGUGCCUUUUGUAGAAUGAACCGGCGAGUUACGAUUUGAUGCAAGGUUAAGCAGUAAAUGUGGAGCCGUAGCGAAAGCGAGUCUGAAUAGGGCGUUUAGUAUUUGGUCGUAGACCCGAAACCAGGUGAUCUACCCUUGGUCAGGUUGAAGUUCAGGUAACACUGAAUGGAGGACCGAACCGACUUACGUUGAAAAGUGAGCGGAUGAACUGAGGGUAGCGGAGAAAUUCCAAUCGAACCUGGAGAUAGCUGGUUCUCUCCGAAAUAGCUUUAGGGCUAGCCUCAAGUGAUGAUUAUUGGAGGUAGAGCACUGUUUGGACGAGGGGCCCCUCUCGGGUUACCGAAUUCAGACAAACUCCGAAUGCCAAUUAAUUUAACUUGGGAGUCAGAACAUGGGUGAUAAGGUCCGUGUUCGAAAGGGAAACAGCCCAGACCACCAGCUAAGGUCCCAAAAUAUAUGUUAAGUGGAAAAGGAUGUGGCGUUGCCCAGACAACUAGGAUGUUGGCUUAGAAGCAGCCAUCAUUUAAAGAGUGCGUAAUAGCUCACUAGUCGAGUGACACUGCGCCGAAAAUGUACCGGGGCUAAACAUAUUACCGAAGCUGUGGAUUGUCCUUUGGACAAUGGUAGGAGAGCGUUCUAAGGGCGUUGAAGCAUGAUCGUAAGGACAUGUGGAGCGCUUAGAAGUGAGAAUGCCGGUGUGAGUAGCGAAAGACGGGUGAGAAUCCCGUCCACCGAUUGACUAAGGUUUCCAGAGGAAGGCUCGUCCGCUCUGGGUUAGUCGGGUCCUAAGCUGAGGCCGACAGGCGUAGGCGAUGGAUAACAGGUUGAUAUUCCUGUACCACCUAUA